GUUUUCUACGGCUCGAGUUUAACAGAACAAGAUUCCGCUCUCUAGGAUACUUAUGUUACCUAGUUUUCAAUAUCAUUUGAUGGUUACCAUAUCUAAGUCCCCUUAAUCGAGUAAAGGAAAUGUGGUGGACAAGCAUUAGACCACAAUUCUCAUGCUUUGACACCAUGAAACCUCACCAGGAAGCUUAGCCUCUCUUGAAAUGAACUUAUUAUUGAGACUUCCAAGUGACUCAUGGGCCUUAUCUUGAUUCUAAACCAAGAUUACAUAGCUAUUGUGUGAAGUGUAAAAUGUGGUUGACUUUACAAUUGUGUGAUUGGGUUGAAUGGUGAAGCCGUUGGGUUGUUAUUGUACAUAUAUGGAGAAUGAGCAUUAUACUUGAAGUUGGAUUGAAUUGAG